rnacentral:rRNA from 1 species
AACGAACGCUGGCGGCAUGCCUAACACAUGCAAGUCGAACGAGACCUUCGGGUCUAGUGGCGCACGGGUGCGUAACGCGUGGGAACCUGCCCUUAGGUUCGGAAUAACUCCCCGAAAGGGGUGCUAAUACCGGAUAAUGUCUUCGGACCAAAGAUUUAUCGCCUUUGGAGGGGCCCGCGUUGGAUUAGCUAGUUGGUAGGGUAAAAGCCUACCAAGGCGACGAUCCAUAGCUGGUUUGAGAGGAUGAGCAGCGACACUGGGACUGAGACGCGGCGCGGACUCCUGCGGGAGGCAGGAGUGGGGGAUAUUGGACAAUGGGCGAAAGCCUGAUCCAGCAAUGCCGCGAGAGUGAUGAAGGCCUGAGGGUUGUAAAGCUCGUUUACCCGGGAUGAUAAUGACAGUACCGGGAGAAUAAGCACCGGCUAACUCCGUG